rnacentral:rRNA from 1 species
GACGAACGCUGGCGGCGUGCUUAACACAUGCGAGUCGAACGGAAAGGCCCUGCUUUUGUGGGGUGCUCGAGUGGCGAACGCGUGAGUAACACGUGAGUAACCUGCCCUUGACUUUGGGAUAACAUCAGGAAACUGGGGAUCAUACCGGAUAGGAGAUCCUGCACCGUGGGGGGGGUUGGAAAGUGUCGGCGGUUGGGGCUGGUCUCGCGGGUUAUCCGCUUGUUGGUGGGGUAGUGGCUUACCAAGGCUGUGACGGGUAGCCGGCCUGAGAGGGGGAACGGCCACAUGGGGACUAAGGUACGGCCCAGUCGGCUACGGGAGGCAGCAGUGGGGAACAUGGCGCAAUGGGGGGAAGCCUGAUGCAGCAACGCCGCGAUCGGGAUGACGUCCUUCGGGUUGUAAACCGCUGUCGCCGGUGACGAAGCGGGAUUGACGGUAAUGGGUAAAGAAGCACCGGCUAACUACGUG